AUUGAACGCUGGCGGCAGGCUUAACACAUGCAAGUCGAGCGGAGAUGAGGUGCUUGCACCUUAUCUUAGCGGCGGACGGGUGAGUAAUGCUUAGGAAUCUGCCUAUUAGUGGGGGACAACAUUCCGAAAGGAAUGCUAAUACCGCAUACGUCCUACGGGAGAAAGCAGGGGAUCUUCGGACCUUGCGCUAAUAGAUGAGCCUAAGUCGGAUUAGCUAGUUGGGGGGGUAAAGGCCUACCAAGGCGACGAUCUGUAGCGGGUCUGAGAGGAUGAUCCGCCACACUGGGACUGAGACACGGCCCAGACCACUACGGGAGGCAGCAGUGGGGAAUAUUGGACAAUGGGGGGAACCCUGAUCCAGCCAUGCCGCGUGUGUGAAGAAGGCCUUAUGGUUGUAAAGCACUUUAAGCGAGGAGGAGGCUACUGAGACUAAUACUCUUGGAUAGUGGACGUUACUCGCAGAAUAAGCACCGGCUAACUCUGUGCCAGCAGCCGCCGUAAGAC
rnacentral:rRNA from 1 species